AGGGAAUCUUCCACAAUGGACGGAAGUCUGAUGGAGCAACGCCGCGUGAGUGAUGAAGGUUUUCGGAUCGUAAAACUCUGUUGUAAGGGAAGAACCAGUACGUCAGGCAAUGGACGUACCUUGACGGUACCUUAUUGAAAGCCACGGCUAACUACGUGCCAGCAGCCGCGGUAAUACGUAGGUGGCAAGCGUUGUCCGGAAUUAUUGGGCGUAAAGAGCUUGUAGGCGGUCUGUUGCGUCGGAAGUGAAAACUCAGGGCUUAACCCUGAGCCUGCUUUCGAUACGGGCAGACUUGAGGGAUGUAGGGGAGAACGGAAUUCCUGGUGGAGCGGUGGAAUGCGCAGAUAUCAGGAGGAACACCAGUGGCGAAGGCGGUUCUCUGGACAUUUCCUGACGCUGAGAAGCGAAAGCGUGGGGAGCAAACA
rnacentral:rRNA from 1 species